rnacentral:rRNA from 1 species
UUGAAGUGUUAUAGCCUCUGGUAGAUGUGGUGACUGGAACUGAGGAUUGCAACAAAUAUCCUUUGAGCUAUCCGUCUGAUCUCUGAAAGUUGCUUAGGUGCUGAAAGCGUGCUUAUGGUCAUCUAAGUUAACGGUCAACAGGCUAGAAUGUGAUUACAUUCGUUAAGGAUGUUGGCGUAAUGGCUUUAAACGA